AGUUCAUCAGAAAAUUAGGUCACAGGGUAACCUGCUGCCCCCAAACUGGAGAGGCAGAAAGGUAGAUACAGAGAAUCAUGAUUUGCCAGAGCAGAAAUCUUCCCUGGAAUCAGCACCUGGGUGGGAAAACCUGAACUGCAACUGACGAAUGUCUGGCAGCGUGGAUGUGUGCUGCUGGUUAAUGUUAGGUGGCAGCUGGACUGGAGUAAGGAAUACCUAGAGAAUGGUGAAACAUGACUUCUGGGUGUGUCUGUGAGGGUGUUUCCAGAGGAGAUUGGCGUGGGAGUCAGUGGACUGAGUGGGGAAGAUCCGCUCUCAAUGUGGGUGGCACUAUGCAAUUGGUUCACGGCUUGAAUAAAAACAAAAGAGGAGAAAAGAUUUUCCUCUUUCUGUCUCUGUCUCUCCUGGAGCUGGAAGAUUCUCCUUCUCCUGCCCUUUGGAUAUCAAAACUCUAGGCUCUUCAGCCUUGGACUGAGAAUUACCCCAGUGGUGUCCCUGGUUCUGAGGCUUGCAGACUUGGACUGAGCCACGCUACUGGCACCUCUUGCAAAUAGUCUCUCAGGGGACUUCUCAGCCUCCAUUAAUUGCCAGGCGGCUGAGAAGAAUGUUGGAUCCCCGGCUCCACGGCCCACCAGCCAUCUGGGACUGGCAAACCCACAGGAACGGAAGGUUCCUCAGGGACCACAAAGCCCAUGUGAGGUCCCUGCUGCUGAAGGGAUUCUGAGGACAGGAGGAGCCAAAUUACCUAUCCAGGGUCACCUAGCCAAGACAGGUUGGUGCUGUGGCCUGAAAGCAGCUGUCCCUCCUGUGUGCAAGCUCGGACCGCUGCACCCAGACAGAUUCCAUUUCUGACCUUCCACUUGUUCGUCUCCAGCUCGCCAUGGCCAAACAGCUGCAGGCCCGAAGGCUAGACGGGAUCGACUACAACCCCUGGGUGGAGUUUGUGAAACUGGCCAGUGAGCAUGACGUCGUGAACUUGGGCCAGGGCUUCCCGGAUUUCCCACCACCAGAAUUUGCCGUGGAAGCCUUUCAGCACGCUGUCAGUGGAGACUUCAUGCUCAACCAGUACACCAAGACAUUUGUCAUCAUCAUCGAACCCUUUUUUGACUGCUACGAGCCCAUGACAAUGAUGGCAGGGGGUCAUCCUGUGUUUGUGCCCCUGAAGCCGGGUCCCAUCCAGAAUGGAGAACUGGGUUCCAGCAGCAACUGGCAGCUGGACCCCAUGGAGCUGGCCAGCAAAUUCACAUCACGCACCAAAGCCCUGGUCCUCAACACCCCCAACAACCCCCUGGGCAAGGUGUUCUCCAGGGAAGAGCUGGAGCUGGUGGCCAGCCUGUGCCAGCAGCAUGACGUGGUGUGUAUCACUGAUGAAGUCUACCAGUGGAUGGUCUACGACGGGCACCAGCACAUCAGCAUUGUCUCAGCAGCUGUUCUGUUCGGCCUUGGGCAGCCAGCCUCCCUGGCAUGUGGGAACGGACCCUGACCAUCGGCAGCGCCGGCAAGACCUUCAGCGCCACUGGCUGGAAGGUGGGCUGGGUCCUGGGUCCAGAUCACAUCAUGAAGCACCUGCGGACCGUGCACCAGAACUCCGUCUUCCACUGCCCCACGCAGAGCCAGGCUGCAGUAGCCGAGAGCUUUGAGCGGGAGCAGCUGCUCUUCCGCCAACCCAGCAGCUACUUUGUGCAGUUCCCACAGGCCAUGCAGCGCUGCCGUGACCACAUGAUACAUAGCCUACAGUCAGUGGGCCUGAAGCCCAUCAUCCCUCAGGGCAGCUACUUCCUCAUCACAGACAUCUCAGACUUCAGUGAGUGAGACUUGCCGGUCUGGGCAGGGCACAGGGGCUGGAGGCUGCAGGGGGCUCAGUGUGGCCUCUGUCUCCCAGAGAGGAAGAUGCCUGACUUGCCUGGAGCUGUGGAUGAGCCCUAUGACAGACGCUUCGUCAAGUGGAUGAUCAAGAACAAGGGCUUGGUGGCCAUCCCUGUCUCCAUCUUCUAUAGUGUGCCACAUCAGAAGCACUUUGACCACUAUAUCCGCUUCUGUUUUGUGAAGGAUGAAGCCACGCUCCAGGCCAUGGACGAGAAGCUGCGGAAGUGGAAGGUGGAGCUCUAGCCCUGAAGUCACGCCUUGGCCCUGACAUCCCCACAUGCCUGCAGAGAUCCUCUUUGAGUGUCUGUCUUUGUCCAGGUUUCAGACAUUUCUAGGUUGGGGAAGAUGCUAUUGGGAAACCUCUUCUCCGUGACACAGAAUGUUCUGGGUGGGAGCCACCCUUCUUCAUCUUAGAGAACCAAGUGCCUCCUGUCUGAAAGGUGAGGGUGGCCUGACCUGGGCCUCUCCCUGCCCCUCCAUAGGUGGGUUUGUAGGGUCUUGUGUUGCUUCUGGUCUCUCCAGGCUUGGCUGAGACGGACGGUAGACUUCCACCAUGUACCGAUCACAUCCCAGCUCUGCAUGGCCCCUGCUAAGGCUCGGGUAUAACCUCACCUUCCCUGGCUCAUCUUGGCCUUGGGGAGUUGCCUUUAGGCUUGAGUCCUCAAGCCUCUCCUUUUCGUCCAUAAUAAAAUGUUUAAGUUAUU
rnacentral:sRNA from 1 species